rnacentral:rRNA from 1 species
CCUACGGGAGGCUGCAGUGAGGAAUAUUGGUCAAUGGACGAGAGCCUGAACCAGCCAAGUAGCGUGAAGGAUGACUGCUCUAUGGGUUGUAAACUUCUUUUAUAUGGGAAUAAAAUGUGCCACGUGUGGUAUUUUGUAUGUACCAUAUGAAUAAGGAUCGGCUAACUCCGUGCCAGCAGCCGCGGUAAUACGGAGGAUCCGAGCGUUAUCCGGAUUUAUUGGGUUUAAAGGGUGCGUAGGUGGAUUGUUAAGUCAGUUGUGAAAGUUUGCGGCUCAACCGUAAAAUUGCAGUUGAAACUGGCAGUCGUGAGUACGGUAGAGGUAGGCGGAAUUCGUGGUGUAGCGGUGAAAUGCUUAGAUAUCACGAAGAACUCCGAUUGCGAAGGCAGCUCAC